UACAGAGGUCUCAAGCGUUGUUCGGAUUCAUUGGGCGUAAAGGGUGCGUAGGCGGCGCGGAAAGUCGGGUGUGAAAUUUCGGAGCUUAACUCCGAAACUGCAUUCGAUACUCCCGUGCUUGAGGACUGGAGAGGAGACUGGAAUUUACGGUGUAGCAGUGAAAUGCGUAGAGAUCGUAAGGAAGACCAGUGGCGAAGGCGGGUCUCUGGACAGUUCCUGACGCUGAGGCACGAAAGCGUGGGGAGCGAACAGG
rnacentral:rRNA from 1 species